UGGGGAAUAUUGCACAAUGGGGGAAACCCUGAUGCAGCCAUGCCGCGUGUGUGAAGAAGGCCUUCGGGUUGUAAAGCACUUUCAGCGAGGAGGAAAGGGGGAUAGCUAAUACCUAUUCUCUGUGACGUUACUCGCAGAAGAAGCACCGGCUAACUCCGUGCCAGCAGCCGCGGUAAUACGGAGGGUGCAAGCGUUAAUCGGAAUAACUGGGCGUAAAGCGCACGCAGGCGGUUAGAUAAGUCAGAUGUGAAAGCCCCGGGCUCAACCUGGGAACUGCAUUUGAAACUGUCUGACUAGAGUCUUGUAGAGGGGGGUAGAAUUCCAGGUGUAGCGGUGAAAUGCGUAGAGAUCUGGAGGAAUACCGGUGGCGAAGGCGGCCCCCUGGACAAAGACCGACGCUCAGGUGCGAAAGCGUGGGGAGCAAACA
rnacentral:rRNA from 1 species